UCCUACGGGGGGCAGCAGUGGGGAAUAUUGCACAAUGGGGGAAACCCUGACGCAGUGACGCCGCGUGCAGGAAGAAGGUUUUCGGAUUGUAAACUGCUUUAGACAGGGAAGAAACAAGACAGUACCUGUAGAAUAAGCUCCGGCUAACUACGUGCCAGCAGCCGCAGUAAUACGUAGGGGGCAAGCGUUAUCCGGAUUUACUGGGUGUAAAGGGAGCGUAGACGGCGUGCCAAGUCUGAUGUGAAAGGCCGGGGCUCAACCCCGGGACUGCAUUGGAAACUGGCAUGCUGGAGUGCCGGAGGGGG
rnacentral:rRNA from 1 species